GUCUAUAGCCAUACCACCCUGAACAUGAUCCCAUCUGAUCUCAGAAGCUGAGCCAGGGUAGGGCCUGGUUAAUGCAUAGACAGAAA
rnacentral:rRNA from 1 species